UGCGUGGGCUGCCUCGUAGCACUGCAGCCCGUGUUAUACCCUCACAGCUCCUAGCACAGCUUCUCUCCAGCCUCCUUACUCUGCCGAGCGGAGAUCAAAGCCGUGAGGAUAGGAUGUAGACGGCUGGGGCACUAGCAGAUCCCUGGGAUGGUACAGACGGCCCGCAGAAGUCACCCGCGUACUUCAGGAGGCUGCGUGGACUGCUUCGUCUCUCGCAGGAUCCUCCAGAACGAACAUGCAGGAGCUCCUCAAGCGCUGGUCCCGGCGCAACCCAGGGCGUCAGUGUCCGGCAGCUGGGCUUCAGCCACGGGCGGAAGACCGUGCACCGAGGCUUGUUUGCAGAGUUCCCCACGUCGGCGAAGCCAUCACACGGACAGGGCUCAGCUAUUCCCGUUCGCUGGAGCUACACGU